CCUACGGGUGGCUGCAGUAGGGAAUAUUGCUCAAUGGGGGAAACCCUGAAGCAGCAACGCCGCGUGGAGGAUGAAGGUCUUCGGAUCGUAAACCUCUGUCAGCAGGGAAGAACGGUCACGGUGCUAAGCAGCAGUGAAUUGACGGUACCGGCAAAGGAAGCACCGACGAACGCCGUGCCAGCAGCCGCGGUAAUACGGAGGGUGCGAGCGUUAAGCGGAAUUACUGGGCGUAAAGCGCUCGUAGGCGGUAUGUCAAGUCAAGGGUGAAUUCCCCGCGCUCAACGUGGGAACUGCCUUUGAAACUGGCAAACUGGAGUGUGUGCGCGGCUAGUGGAAUUCCCGGUGUAGGCG
rnacentral:rRNA from 1 species